rnacentral:rRNA from 1 species
UACGUAGGGUGCAAGCGUUAAUCGGAAUUACUGGGCGUAAAGCGUGCGCAGGCGGUUAUGCAAGACAGAUGUGAAAUCCCCGGGCUCAACCUGGGAACUGCAUUUGUGACUGCAAGGCUAGAGUACGGUAGAGGGGGAUGGAAUUCCGCGUGUAGCAGUGAAAUGCGUAGAUAUGCGGAGGAACACCGAUGGCGAAGGCAAUCCCCUGGACCUGUACUGACGCUCAUGCACGAAAGCGUGGGGAGCAAACAGG